rnacentral:misc_RNA from 1 species
AAUCGGCCAAAAUCCACAUAUCCCUGCACAAUUAUAAGAAGUUCAGAAAAUGAAUUAUGACUAUAUCAAAAUAAAUAUGAUGUACAUGGUGUUAUGAUAUUGCUAAAGCUUAUAGAGCUUUAGAGUUGUGCCAAAGUGGUCCUGGAUUAACCAUCAAUUUAUUAUGGUCCCGGAAAUUUAGGACAAAAGAACGCUUCCAAAACAAUGGCAACCAUUAAUGACUGAAUGAUCUGCAGUGAGAACACUUAUUUUUUGGUAAUUUUUGCAAGUCAAACACCAGAAUCCUAACUGUCUGAGAAAAAAAUAAAAAACUAGUCUUAUUUGUCAGUCAACAAAAAUUUUCUCAUUUGGUAAAGAAUAUCUAUAUUUGUUUUUAAAGUCUAAUUUCACAUAAUUAGUAAAGAAUAUUACCUUGAAUACGUGCCAUUCACGCCAGAGAAUGGCAAUCCAAUUAAUUGCUAGAGUUAUGAUUUUCUUAAGUUUCAUGAUAAACUGUAUUUCCACUUACAGCCAUGAACCACCAUCAAAGUAAAAGAUGUUAACAAUAACAAGCGUAGAUACAAAAUUUUCGUCAAUACCAUGUCUAAGUUGCAUGAGUGGUUAAGUUUUGCAAAUUGUGUUAAUAAUUUGACUAAAUAUAGUGAUUAAAUAAGAAAGCCUUAAUGUAAUUAUUUCCUACUCAUCUUCUAAUUACUAGGGAAUCAAUUAUUUUCUGCACCAACAUUUUCAUA